GACGAACGCUGGCGGCGUGCUUAACACAUGCCAGUCGAACGGAAAGGCCUCUUUCGGGGGGUACUCGAGUGGCGAACGGGUGAGUAACACGUGAGUAACCUGCCCUUGACUUUGGGAUAACUUCAGGAAACUGGGGCUAAUACCGGAUAGGAGCUCCUGCUGCAUGGUGGGGGUUGGAAAGUUUCGGCGGUUGGGGAUGGACUCGCGGCUUAUCAGCUUGUUGGUGGGGUAGUGGCUUACCAAGGCCUUGCCGGGUAGCCGGCCUGGGAGGGUGACCGGCCACAUUGGGACUGAGAUACGGCCCAGACUCCUACGGGAGGCAGCAGUGGGGAAUAUUGCACAAUGGGUGGAAGCCUGAUGCAGCAACGCCGUGUGCGGGAUGACGGCCUUCGGGUUGUAAACCGCUUUCGCUCAUGACGAAGCUUUGUGUGACGGUAGUGGGUAAAGAAGCACCGGCUAACUACGUG
rnacentral:rRNA from 1 species